rnacentral:rRNA from 1 species
GCUGGCGGCGUGCUUAACACAUGCAAGUCGAACGGAAAGGCCCUGCUUUUGUGGGGUGCUCGAGUGGCGAACGGGUGAGUAACACGUGAGUAACCUGCCCUUGACUUUGGGAUAACUUCAGGAAACUGGGGCUAAUACCGGAUAGGAGCUCCUGCUGCAUGGUGGGGGUUGGAAAGUUUCGGCGGUUGGGGAUGGACUCGCGGCUUAUCAGCUUGUUGGUGGGGUAGUGGCUUACCAAGGCUUUGACGGGUAGCCGGCCUGAGAGGGUGACCGGCCACAUUGGGACUGAGAUACGGCCCAGACUCCUACGGGAGGCAGCAGUGGGGAAUAUUGCACAAUGGGCGGAAGCCUGAUGCAGCAACGCCGCGUGCGGGAUGACGGCCUUCGGGUUGUAAACCGCUUUCGCCUGUGACGAAGCGUGAGUGACGGUAAUGGGUAAAGAAGCACCGGCUAACUACGUGCCAGCAGCCGCGGUGAUACGUAGGGUGCGAGCGUUGUCCGGAUUUAUUGGGCGUAAAGGGCUCGUAGGUGGUUGAUCGCGUCGGAAGUGUAAUCUUGGGGCUUAACCCUGAGCGUGCUUUCGAUACGGGUUGACUUGAGGAAGGUAGGGGAGAAUGGAAUUCCUGGUGGAGCGGUGGAAUGCGCAGAUAUCAGGAGGAACACCAGUGGCGAAGGCGGUUCUCUGGGCCUUUCCUGACGCUGAGGAGCGAAAGCGUGGGGAGCGAACAGGCUUAGAUACCCUGGUAGUCCACGCUGUAAACGGUGGGUACUAGGUGUGGGGUCCAUUCCACGGGUUCCGUGCCGUAGCUAACGCUUUAAGUACCCCGCCUGGGGAGUACGGCCGCAAGGCUAAAACUCAAAGGAAUUGACGGGGCCCCGCACAAGCGGCGGAGCAUGCGGAUUAAUUCGAUGCAACGCGUAGAACCUUACCUGGGUUUGACAUGGAUCGGGAGUGCUCAGAGAUGGGUGUGCCUCUUUUGGGGUCGGUUCACAGGUGGUGCAUGGCUGUCGUCAGCUCGUGUCGUGAGAUGUUGGGUUAAGUCCCGCAACGAGCGCAACCCUUGUUCACUGUUGCCAGCACGUUAUGGUGGGGACUCAGUGGAGACCGCCGGGGUCAACUCGGAGGAAGGUGGGGAUGACGUCAAGUCAUCAUGCCCCUUAUGUCCAGGGCUUCACGCAUGCUACAAUGGCUGGUACAGAGAGUGGCGAGCCUGUGAGGGUGAGCGAAUCUCGGAAAGCCGGUCUCAGUUCGGAUUGGGGUCUGCAACUCGACCUCAUGAAGUCGGAGUCGCUAGUAAUCGCAGAUCAGCAACGCUGCGGUGAAUACGUUCCCGGGGCUUGUACACACCGCCCGUCAAGUCAUGAAAGUUGGUAACACCCGAAGCCGGUGGCCUAACCGUUGUGGGGGAGCCGUCGAAGGUGGGACUGGUGAUUAG